rnacentral:rRNA from 1 species
UACGAGGGGGGCAAGCGUUGUUCGGAAUUAUUGGGCGUAAAGGGCGCGUAGGCGGUGCGGUAAGUCACCUGUGAAAACUCUGGGCUCAACUCAGAGCCUGCAGGCGAAACUGCCGUGCUUGAGUGUGGGAGAGGUGCGUGGAAUUCCCGGUGUAGCGGUGAAAUGCGCAGAUAUCAGGAGGAACACCUAUUGCGAAGGCAGCUCGCUGGGACGUAACUGACGCUGAGACGCGAAAGCGUGGGGAGCAAACAGG